GACAAAAACAGGACAGCACUGCACGCUGCACACGCCCGCCCCAGGCGCUGAUCUGCCGCUCGGGAGAAGUCGCUACUCAGAGCGCUCACUCAGGCUGCUUCUCAGGGCGCCGGACAACAGCAGCUCAGCGCCCACCGGCCUGAGGGCGAGCGACAAAAAAGACCUAGGCAUCCGCUGGUCCUUGAAGCACUGCAAGCCUUCUGUGCUCUACGGGCUGUGAAGGCUGUCCCCUUUUGGUUGAACCAGUGCCAAAUACAGAGGUCGUUGAAUGAAAAUGUUGAAUAACAUAUGGCCAAGAACCAAUCUGUGAAUAACUCCACUGGAAACAGACCUGCUUAAUGAUGAUUCUCCAUUUAGAAUGACAUUUUGAGACCUAUCAGCAUGUACUAUCUGCCAUGAUAAUUUUAUAUCAUUCUAGUUUUUUAAUCAAAAUGUCAUGUGGUACCAAGUGUAAGUAUAUUACAUCAGUACUAUUACCUUUACCAAACACACUUGUAAUCUCAAACUUGUAGCUCUCUGCCCACUGCUGGGGGCAUUGGUGCCCUGACACAGCCCUGCUUAUGUCGAGCUACCACCAAGUGCUAAAAACACACUGAAAGUAGCUGUCUUUGGUAAAAAUGUUCAACACAAUUACACUCCAACAUAUCUCAGAGUGAAACUCGAUCGCACUUUCACCUUCCAUGAUCACCUUGAGAAGGUAGCCUUAAAGAAAAACGAGAGCCGACAUAAUCCAGAAACUAGCAGGUACAACCUGGGGUGUGUCGGCAUUAGUGUUGCGAACAUCUGCAAUAGCACUUUAUACAUUCAGUAGCUGAAUAUUGUGCACCAGUAUGGAGCAGAUGCAGCCACAUGUGACUUGUUAACACCCAGCUGAAUACAGUAGUGUGGUGCAUCACGGGAACCCUUAAGUUGACUCCAAAACCAUGGCUAGCUACUCUGUCUAACAUUGCUCCCCCGCCGAUACAACGAACUGCUGCAACGUUCCGCGAAGCUCAGCAAAUCCAGGAAAACAGAUGUCGUCUUAUCCACCAAGACCUUAACAACGCCCCCGCCCCCACAACGUCUUAAGUACCACAAGCCUUUCUGGGAACAUUCGCUUAGCCUCAUGCAAUCAGGCUACGAUCAGAAGGAGGUUUGGAAAGCAGAUUGGGCUAAACGUCACUUAAAAAAUAAACACCUGGUGGUGGAUCUCAUGCAGAGGGUCAUCUUGGUCAACUCUGAACUGAAUCCAAACCAACCAUGGCAGAUGCAGACAUCUAAUGCACAUAUGGAAAAUCAAGGACUCCCCUACGUGUGAGUGUGGCUUCCCAUGACAGACCAUCGAACAUAUCACCACCUACUGCCUAAUUUAUAAAUAUGAAGGUGGCAUUACUGCAAUAAAUUCUGCUGCUCUGAUAUAGCCAUUUGGCUUGAUCAACUUCAGGUGAAAUUGUAGGUGCUGCUUCAUGGGCGACAUGUGAACUGCCGGCUGAGGGAGGUUAGCCCCCAGUCCUGCCCCUUCACCCCUCCCCCACCAACCCCUACCCCAGGCUAGCACCCUCAGCCCCAGAGCGCCAGGAGGGCGGGGGUGGUGUGGCCCCAGCGCCGGGAGGGAGGGAGAGUGGGUGGCCCAGCCCAAGCGCAGCCCCUAGCCCCCCUAGCUCCAGAGUGCCGGGAGGGCGGGCAGCACUGCCCCAGCCCCGGAGUGCUGGGUGAGUGGUGCAGCCCCAGUGUCAGCCUGAGUUCUAGCUGCCGCCAUGGUGACAGCACCGGGACAGGGGAACUGGCAGGAGGAGGUCUGGGGGCAGAGCAUGGACGGGGUCAUGCCUGGGUGUUUGGGGAGGCACAGCCUCCCCCAGCCUAUGAUACCCACCACCCAUGUGCUGCUUUACGCCAGCCAUAUGAAAGAAGAAGACAACCAGCAAGACUUAGGCCAUGUCUACACUACAAACUUUGGUCAAAGCAAGUUAUGUUGGCGUAAAGAUGCCAUGGUUAAUAUAUCGCUUAUGUCUGUGCAUACUUGACUCCUUGUGUUGGGUGCUGUGCGUACUCACAAGGAGUGCUUGUGUCGAUGCGCAAUGCAGUGCACUAUGGGUAGGUAUUCCAAUGUGCAGCUCACAAUUGUCUGGUGCACUGUCUUUUGGGAAAUUUUGGCAGUUCAUAGUGGGGCAGAAGUGAGUCACACAAGGGUGACUGGGAUCAAGGGGUCAAGUUCCCAGCAUGCAGCUUUCUCCAUCCCAUAGUGCCAUCCAUAUCCCUUUAUUUUUGUAUCUUUUUAAAAAAUCCCACAAACCUGUGUGUCACUUCUUGCUGCCUGCCAUCUCUGACAGAAGCAUGGAACUCACACAGCUCUGCACUAUUGUUAUGAGUGUUGCAAACACAGGAUGGAUGAUCUGGUAUUUGCAGAGCUGCAAGAAGAACCCUAGCAGUGGUGGACAUGAUGAUUUUAUGGAGGACAGAUUGCUGUGGGACAUAGUAAGACCUAAGGAUGUUCAUGGAACAGCUGCAGACAGUGGACUGCCACCUCAGGCCCUGAGAAACAAGCACUGACUAGUGCGAUCGCAUCACAACGCAGGUUCGGAACGAUGUGAAAGGCCACAUUCCUAUGUCUGUGUAGCAAACUCAACUCAGUCUUCCAGUGCAGGGACUCUAGAAUGAGAGCUUCACUGACAGUGGAGAAGCAAGUAAUGAUUGCAUUGUAGAAGCUUGCAAUGCCAGAUUACUACUAGUCAGUAGGAAAUCAUUAUGGAAUUGGAAAAUCCACAGUUGGGACCAUUGUCGUGCAAGUGUUCAGGGCCAUUAGCCAUCUGCUACACAGGACUGUGACACUCGGUAAUGUGCAGGACAUGGGGAUAGAUUUGCAGCAAUGGAGUUCCCAAACUACAGUGGAGCAAUAGAUGGCAUGCAUUUCCCUGUUUUGGAAUUGUGUGGCCCACAACCCAUCAAUAGGAAAGGCUACUUUUCGAUGGUGUUGAAAGCAUUGAUGGAUCAUCGGGGACACUUCACUGACAUCAGUGGUUGGCUGGUCAAGGAAGGUACAUAUGACGCUUGCAUUAUUAAGAACAUAGGACUGUUCAGAAAGCUGCAAGCAGGAACAUUCUUUCCUGACAGUUGAAUUAUCAUUGGUGAUGUUGAAAUGCCACUAGUGACCCUGGGGGACCCAGCCUACUCCUUGCUCUCCUGGCUUAUGAAGCUGAAUACUAGCCAGCUCAACAGUACCAAGGAAAGAUUUAACUACCAGCUCACCAGGUGCAGAAUGACAGCUGAAUGUGCUUUUGGUAGAUUGAAGAGAAGCUGGCAUUGGUGAUCACCAGAUUGGAUCUCUGUGAGAAAAAUGUCUCAAUGGUUAUAGCUGCCAGUUGUGCUCUGCAUAAUAUCUGUGAAGCAGAUGUUGCAGCGACAUGGAGAGCUGAGGUUUGAACAGCCAGACCAGACCAAAGGGGUAUUAGUAGAGCUCAACACAGAGCUGUGUGGUUGAAGGAGACCUUGAAAGAGCAUGUCACUGUCUGUAUUUAGUCACAGUGAUGUGGUGGGCUGUGCCCUAAAGUUUUGGGGGGUUGUUAGGAAUUGUGUGGUGCUUGCUGUCUGUUAAUACAGCUAUUGAUUGUGUGGUGCCUCCAGUACGUGUAUAAUAAUUACCCUGCAUUUGUCACUGAUCCUAUGAGCUCUGUCGCCCUGGACAAUAACAAGCAGUGGGCCCUUUCAGUAGUGCUUGGCAUUCUGAAGCAUAUGAUGUUAUAAAGAUUAAUUAUUUUCCCCUAAAAAAAGGAUUUUUAUUGCAUACCAAAACCAGGGCAAAAAACCCCUGUGUAAUUAAAAAACAAAAAUAAAGUAAUGGAACAGAACUUAGCAAGGGGAAAGAAUGUUCAUGUCCAUUUUGGCUACACCUACACCAGCUAUGGUUCUUGCAGGUCCAUGGGGCCAGGAUUUUCACCUUAGGACUCUAACCAGCUGUAUAUGGUCACUUGAAAGGAAUAACACUGGGAAAUGGCUUGUCAAUGCUGGGAGAAAUUCAAAGUGGGAAUCUCCUUUCUGACCUUCCCCACAAUUUGGUCACUUGGUGUGGCAUUUUCCUCUGCAUCCUCUUCCACCUCAUUUGCUCUCCAUCUAUUUUUAAGUCUAAUCUAAAAACAUCCUUUCUCCUCUUGCUUUCUCUCUCCCUACUUUUGUUCUUUGUUUUAUUUUUGCAACUAAGUUAUUUAUUUAACUUGGUAAAGCAUGCUGGGAUACAGCCCUCUUUGUUAAAGAUUCAACAUGCUGCCUCCUUUAGCUAAUGGCUGAGAAAGUUCCCAAUCUACUUCUCUGUAGGCCUGAUCUUGCACCAUCGAUCUCAUUGGAUUUUUACCAUUGACUUCAGCAGGAGCAGAAUCAAAACCCUAGGUUCUGCAAGGGAGAGCUCCAGCAAAAACAGAAAAGACAAUAUUUGACAUUUAUAUUGUAUCUAAAGUAAAAAUAUGCCAUUAAAGCAAGAAACAACCUUCUUUUAUACUGAUACAUUUUAAAUAAGUAAACAAGGACAAACCCAUUUCCCUCCCCUCUUUUGCAGGUGAUUUUUAAAGUAAGAGGGAAGAGUUAUAAUUUCACCAGGACUUUAUUCAAGUAAUCUGAUAAUAGCUCCUUAGAGAGUCCAGAAUCAAGCAAACAAAACCACCAAAGAAAUAUUUUAUGUAAAAAAUGAAAAGAAAUUGUUUGGCAUUUUUUAUGCUAGGAUAAACAAUCUCUUCUUUAAUAUCUUCCCUCUUUCAUGUUAUAUUAGAGGGUACUAGUCUACAGAACAGCAAACAGCAAGCCAGUAGUACAGAUAAUGAAAAUUUAAAUUAUAUGUUCCAUUAUUUUCCAUUAUGUUCAUUCUAAUUAUGCUGUUAUAAUGAGCUGACACAAAGUGGCAAAGGAACAAUCAGAAUUCUGCAAAUGACAAUAAAACUGUGAAGCAGCAGUUUCUUAGCAACAAACUGGAAACUGUGUUAAGUAGUAGUUUUAUUUUUAUCGAGACGUGU